AUGGAGGGGCAGCCGCAUCCAUACGCAUCAACAGAUCUCAAACUGCCUGGCUAUGUUCCUAAUUUCCUCACUCAAUUCACCAUUGUCUCUGUCUAUGGACUCUCCUCCCUUCUCGUCGUUUCUCUCAUCUGGAUCCUCUCUGGUUUGCCCUCUUUUUACACUCUUUUUUUCAGUCUUUUUUCCAAGACUGAAAGUGGGCUUUCAUUAACUAUACUUUACUGGAUUGUAGAUUUUAUAGAUUCCCUUUGAAAAAUCCCGCAGUUUGUAGUUUUGGUUUAUUAGCAGUAGCAGUAAACAUAGAUUUUGAAGCAUGCAUAUUCUGGAUGGCCCACUCUGAUUUCAACUUUCAAUCAUGUACUAGAUGUUUUUCAGAGUAUUCUUAUGGCUGCAGAAGCUAAAGGAUCUUCUUAGAGGGAUUGGCUUUCAGUUUCUCACUUAAUUAUUCUAUGCACAGAGUUCACUGGUCAGUUAUUAAUGGCUGUUGCCUUGCUGGGCUACCCAUUGGCAGAAACAAAAUCUUCAAUGAGAAAUAAAAAAUAAACAAAGGAGAUGAGCUCAUUCCACUCUACUCUGCAUUUGCUAAUUGAAAUUUGAGAUCUUUUUUCCAAUUUUUAUAUAUGUAGUUCAAGAUCUAAUUUUGUUCCGUGUUUGCACUUGGUAGACUGGAAAGGGUAUUAAGGCUUGUUCACUUUGGAUUUGGAACUACAGUUCUUUCCCAACGGAGAAUCAAUGUUUUUAUCUUUUCUCGCUCCCUUUCAAGUAACGAAAAGGAAAGGUUACAGACCGUUUCUUGUUUAGAUGUAUUUUUUGAAUCUUCAUUAUAGAUUUCCUACCUCUGCAAAUGCAACAUUUUCUCUAACCAGUGAUAGUUUUUUGGUUUCUAGCACAUUUUUUGGUCCAUCCUCGAUUUUAUAACAAAAUUUGUUUUGCAUCAUGUUACUUGGUGAUUAGUGUUAUGCAUGUUGUAUUGAAAGCAAACACAAAUAAAACACAAACAAGUAGAUUUACGUAGUUCUCCAAAACUAGGUACGUCCACGGAGACAGCAGAUUGUAUAUUAUUGAAGGAAUGAUACAAACACUCAAUUAAACCCGGUACAAUCCCAAUAAACCCAGUGUUUCAUUCUUACACUUGGUGUUUCUCUUAAAUUUAUCUUUUUUCACUCUCAAAAUUACACUUGCACUCACUUCCUCUACUUCUUGCACUCUUGCUUUCUCUGUCUUCAUUUAUAGGAGAAAUGAGAGUCUUGGCAGCAACCAACAAAAAACAAACAACUCCUAACUACUAUAAUAAAUAUAGUGGUUAAAAGUCAUGGUGGUUGAUGGUGGUUGAGAAAAUGUUGACAAAUUUGCUACAAAUCUCCACCUUGGCAAGAUUUUUCUAUCCAAUCCUCGUGAUCAAUUAAUGCUGUCUCUAAUGCGCUAUAUGGUGCUGCACCCUGAAGGUGCUCAAUACUGAGAGAUGUUGAUCAAGUCCAAACAAUAUUGGAACUUGAUCAUUGAGACACAUUUUGCGAGCAUGUCAGCUGGAUUAUCUGCGGUAUCAAUCUUAUAUAGCAUAAUAUCCCCUUCAUUCAUAAUUUCUCGAACAAAAUGAAAUCGAACAUCAAUGUGCUUGGUGCGGGAAUGAUGAACCUGAUUCUUUGUAAGAUAAAUAGCAUUUUGACUAUCACAAUGGACAUCCACGUGCUCUUGAACAAUUCCCAAAUCUUCAAUCAACCCAUGUAACCAAAUAGCUUCCGUGAAAGCUUCCGUUACUGCCAUGUACUCUGCCUCAGUUGUUGACAAACCUAUUGUUGAUUAUAACGUUGACCUCCAACUUACAGACCCUUUAGCAAGUGUAAACACAUAGCCUGUUGUGGAGCGACGCUUGUCUAAGUUACCAGCAUAGUCCGAGUCUACAUAACCAACUAAAUUUUGUCCAAGUCUAUCAUCCCUCUCAAACUUCAAACCAAUAUCAGUUGUGCCAUAAAUGUAUCGUAGAAUCCACUUAACUGCCUACCAGUGACCCUUUCCCAGAUCAUGCACAUACCUGCUCACCAUACUGACAACAUGGAAAUAUCUGGUCUCGUACAAACCAUUGCAUAUAUUAAUGCACCAACUGCAUUUGCAUACGGAAUUUGAGCCAUAUGUUUGCGUUAUUCCUCUGUACAUGGAGACAUUGAAGCAUUUAGCUUAAGAUGAGGAGCUAAAGGUGUGCUUACAGGCUUGGUCUUACCAUCUACCCUGAAUCUCUGUAGAAUUUUCUUCAAGUAUUGGGUCUGUGUCAAACAGACUAUGUCUUUUCUUCUAUCUCUCUGAAUCUUUAUGCUAAGAAUCUUCUUAGCUUCUCCAAGGUCCUUCAUUUCAAACUCAGUUCUCAGUUGAGCUUAUUGUAGCAAAUUUGUCAAUAUUUUUCCAACCACCAUCAACUAUCAUGACUUUUAACCACUAUAUGUAUUGUAGUAGUUAGUAGUUGGUUGGUAUUUAUUGGGUUGCAUAUGGGUUGCUGCUAAGGCUUUCAUUUCUCCUAUAAAUGGAGACAAAGAGAGAGCAAUGAGAGAGAAGAAAUAGAUGAAGUGUGUGUAGUGAGUGCAAGUGCAAUUUUGAGAGUGAGAAAUAACAGAUUUGAGAGAAACACCAAGUGUAAGAGUGAAACACUGAGUUUAUUGGGAUUGUACCGGGUUGAGUUGAGUGUUUGUAUCAUUCCUCCAAAAAUAUACAAUCUGCUGCCUCCGUGGACGUACCUGGUUUUGGGGAACCACGUAAAUAUGCUUGUUUGUGUUUUAUUUGUGUUUGCUUUCGGUCCAGUAUGCAUAACAAAUUGGUAUCGGAGCAUCAAGGAAGCUAGAACACAGAAAAAACAUGUUUUUUCAGUUCUCGGUUCGAAGUUACAGAAUUUUCAAAAUUUUCAAAUCUUGAUUUUAAUCACUUGCGAAGAUUCCUCUCGUCGAUACCAGUCUGACAAUAUAAAGAUCAUCAAAAUCUAAGUUGAAACGAGCCCUGUAGAGCUCGUCGAAGUUUCGCUUAAAAUCUGCUGGAAAAACUAGACAGUGCCGGAAUUCUAGCCUGAGAAGAUUAUGCCACGUCACCAGACACGUUGGCGCUGAGUCAUCAUCCACACCAUCAACAGGGGGUUAACAUCGCCGUGUCAUCAGCCAUGUCAUCUAAUAAUGACAGAAUAUUCUCUUGUCAGAAUAAGAAUAUUUUAUUAACAGUAAGAGAAUAUUCCCUUGACUAUGACAGAAUAUUCUUUAUCAGAGACAGAAUAUUCAUUUCCUAAGUCAACUCGGUCAGAUUGGUGUUUUUGGCCAACUCAGUGAUUUUUUGACUUGUUUUAGGCCAAGUCAAGCUUAUUCCUAACAUUUUCAACCGUUUCGGACGCAACCGUGGUGUCCAUUUUGUGAAACAGCAAGUCGAAGUUACUGUUUUGGCUCUUUUGAGCAUAAAAGUGCGUGUUUUAACAAUUUUGGGAGUCCAUUUGUAAUCCAAAAACAUUCUAAUGGCUAAUAUUCCAGAAGAAAAAUCAGCAGGGAAUGCUAGUAUACCUCCACAAUACAUCCUGGUAUCGAGUACCAAAUUUGAGGUGGAGAAGUUUGACGAGAAAGGUAAUUUUGGCAUGUGGAAAUGUGAAGUCAUGGAUAUGCUUGUCCAAAUGAAUUUGGAUUUCAUUCUAGAAGAUAAACCAGAGGAUUUGGAUGAUAAAAACUGGAAAAUGAUAAAUCAGUUAGUCUACAGUUCCAUCCGACUUUGUCUAAAGGAUUAGAAGUAUGCCUUUUCAGAACAAAACUCUGCAAAGGAAUUAUGGCAAGCACUAGAGCACAAGUUUAUGAAGAAAAGUAUAGAGAAUCGUCUUUACUUGAAGAAAAGGAUUUUUUGUUUUUAGCACAAGAAAGGUACUUCCAUGAAUGAGCAUCUGAAUGAUUUCAAUAAAAUGAUAGCUGAUUUGAAGAAUUUAGAUGUGGAAAUUGAUGAUGAAGAUAAAGCUUUGUUAUUAUUGAAUUCACUGCCUGACACAUAUGAAUAUCUCGUCACUACUUUACUGUAUGGUAAAGAAAAGAUUAAAUUCAUUGAUGUGUCCAAUGCUUUGGUGAACAAUGAGUACCAGAAGAAGAACCAGAUUGUUCACAAUGAGUCAACGUCAGAAGCAUUGACAGUUAGAGGCAGAACAAACCCUAGAAGAUUCCGAGGGCGAGGGAGAUCUCGCUCAAAAUCCAAAGGAGAAUCAUCAAACAUGCGAUAUCUUGCAAAAGAUGAGUGUGCCUUUUGUCACAAAAAGGACACUGGAAGAAAGAUUGUCCAAUCAAGGGCAAUAAGAAAAAAGAUGAACCAACUGUGAACGUUGCACGAGAUGAAGAUGAACGAGACUCUGCAUUUAUGGUCUCAUCACCAGAAAACCAUUCUGGUGAAUGGGUUCUUGAUUCUGCAUGUUCCUAUCAUAUGUGCCCUAACAAGCACUUAUUUCCCGGUACAAUCCCAGUAAACCCAGUGUUUCACUCUUACACUUGGUGUUUCUCUCAAAUCUGCUCUUUCUCACUCUCAAAAUUGCACUUGCACUUACUGCACACACUUCCUCUACUUCUUCUCUUUCAUUGCUCUUUCUUUGUCUCCAUUUAUAGGAGAAAUGAAAGCCUUGGCAGCAACCCAUGUGCAACCCAAUAAAUAUCAACUAACUACUAACUACUACAAUAAAUAUAGUGGUUAAAAGUCAUGGUGGUUGGAAAAAUAUUGACAAAUUUGCUACAAAUCUCCACCUUCGCAAGAUUUUUUCAUCCAAUCCAGCUGACAUGCUCGCAAAAUGUGUCUCAAGGAUCAAGUUCCAACAUUGUUUGGACUUGAUCAACAUCUCUCGGUGUUGAGCACCUUCAGGGUGCAACGCCAUAUGACGCAUUAGAGGCAGCAUCUCCCUCGCCCUCGAAAUCUUCUAGGGUUUGUUCUGCCUCUAACUGUCAAUGCUUCUGACGUUGACUCAUUGUGAACAAUCUGGUCCUUCUUCUGGUACUUAUUGUUCACCAAAGCAUUGGACACAUCAAUGAAUUUAAUCUUUUCUUUACCAUACAAUAAAAUGGUGACGAGAUGUUCAUAUGUGUCAGGCAAUGAAUUCAAUAAUAACAGAGCUUUAUCUUCAUCAUCAAUUUUCACAUCUAAAUUCUUCAAAUCAUCUAUCAUUUUAUUGAAAUCAUUUAGAUGCUCAUUCAUGGAAGUAACUUUCUUGUGCUGAAAACGGAAGAUCCUUUUCUUCAAGUAAAGACGAUUCUCUAUACUCUUCUUCAUAAACUUGUCCUCUAGUGCUUGCCAUAAUUCCCUUGCAGAGUUUUGUUCUGAAAAGGCGUACUUCUAAUCCUUUACAAGACAAAGUCGGAUGGAACUGCGGGCCAACUGAUUUAUCCUUUCCCAAUUUUUAUCAUCCAAAUCCUCCGGUUUAUCUUCUAGAGUGAAAUCCAAAUUUAUUUGGACAAGUAUAUCCAUGACUUCACAUUUCCACAUGCCAAAAUUACCUUUCCUGUCAAACUUCUCCACCUCAAAUUUGGUACUCGAUACCGGGAUGUAUUGUGAAGGUAUACUAGCAUUCCCCGCUGAUUUUUCUUCUUCUGGAAUAUUAGCCAUUAAGACUUCUUUGGAUUACAAAUGGACUCCUGAAAUAGUUAAAACACGCACUUUUAUGCUCAAAAGAGCCAAAACAGUAACUUCGGCUUGCUGUUUCAUAAAAUAGACACCACGGUUGCGUCCGGAACGGUUGAAAAUGCUAGGAACAAGCUCAACUCAGGCUAAAAUGGGUCAAAAAAUCACCGAGUUGGCCAAAAACACCAAUCUGACCGAGUUGACUUAGGAAAAAGAAUAUUCUGUCUCUGAUAAAAAAUAUUUUGUCACAGUUAAUGGGGUAUUCUCUUAUUGUUGACAGAAUAUUCUUAUUCUGUCAACAGAAUAUUCUAUUAUUAUUAGAUGACGUGGCUGAUGACAUGACAAUGUGAACCUUCCUGUUGAUGACGUGGAUGGUGACUCAGCACCAACGUGUCUGGUGACGUGUCAUAGUCUUCUCAAGCUAGAAUUUCGGCACUGUCUUGUUUUUCCAGCAGAUUUCAAGAGAAACUUUGGCGAGCUCUAUAGGGCUCGUUUCAACUCUGAUUUCGAUGAUCUUUAUAUUGUCGGACUUGUAUCGAGGAGAGGGAUCUCCGCAAGUGGUUAAAAUCAAGAUUUUAGAACUUUGAAAAUUUUACAACUUAGAACCGAGAGCUGAAAAAACAUGUUUUUUCAGUGUUCUAGCUUUCCUAAUACUCUGAUACCAAUUUGUUGUGCAUACUGGACCGAAAGCAAACACAAACAAACAAAUUUACGUGGUUCCCCAAAAUCAGGUAAGUCCACGGAGGCAGCGGAUUGUAUAUUAUUGGAGGAAUGAUACAAACACUCAACUCAACCCGGUACAUCCUAGUAAACCCAGUAUUUCACUCUUACACUUGGUGUUUCUCUCAAAUCUGCACUUGCACACACUUCCUCUACUUCUUGCACUCUUGCUUUCUCUUUGUCUUUAUUUUUAGGAGAAAUGAGAGUUCUGGCAACAACCAAUAAAAACAAACAACUCCUAACUACAACAAUAGAUAUAGUGGUUAAAAGUCAUGGUGGUUGAGAAAAUAUUGACAAAUUUGCUGCAAUUAGUGCAUGCAUUCGAUAAUCGGAAGGUCUCGUAAAUUAGCCAAAAUUGAUAGAUUGCUCAUGUGCUGGUGGGCUUUCACUGGUCUCACACACGUGAUUCUCGAGGGUUAUUUUGUUUUCUCUCCAGAAUUUUACAAGGACAAGACUGCUCAUUAUCUAGCUGGAGUUUGUAA